UUCCAACAUGUUGAGUUCAGUUCAGGGAAGCUUCCCUGUUGUAUUUAUUAAACUUUGGGACAUUGACAUGGGCUAGGGGAGAUGACUGGAUAGAAAUCAUUAUCCAUUUACCUCUUAGUCCUACAAAA
rnacentral:snoRNA from 1 species